UGGCCUCUUGGAUUAAAACAGCAGCUGGCAUCUUUGACAACUGUUUGUAGUUAGUAGACUUUGCACACUUUUUCUUGCUAAUCCAAGCUUGAAAAUACUCUAACCAAAUUUCCCAAGGAUCAGAGUAUUCUGAUGUCCCAUAGAUGUUCCUGUGUUGUUUUUUAAAGUUGAUGGAGAAGUUGUCUUCCUGGCCUGCCAAGCAGUCAAGAUAGGUUGACAAAGUUGUCUCAAGGUUCUUUUGAUGGCAAGUGGCCAAUACCCACAGGAAUCAGCAUUGAAAAUGAGAAUUUGUGGUAUAGCAACAGAAAUGUGUGAAGGAGCUUGAGAGAGUGAGGUUGGGCCUAAGGAAAGAGCUCUUUGUCUCUCACCUCUGCUGCUCUGUCUUCUGGCUUCCUUCUCCUUCUCUGGUUUUCUCCAAGCCCCUUUGCACCAUUGUGGACUGUUGUUUGCCUCUCUUCUCUUAGGUUCACAUGCCCUUACUUAAAAUAUCCCACAGAGAAUGACAAAUGUCUCCAGCCUCCAGUUCCAAAUCUUCCAGGAAGAGUAUCUAAGGAUCCCAGCUCUGUCAGAUAUCCACUCUUCAGAACACCAUUGAUUAGGACAAUAUGGCAUAUGGGCCCCUUCUGGUCAAGUUACUCCUUCAAACUUAAGAAAAUGAAUAAAAAAGGUUGGCAAAUGGAAGAAAGCCAAUUAUGCAACAAUUUUAGAUUUUUGAACGUCUUGUGGAGGCUGCAGAAGAGGCACAUCUGAAACAUGAAUUUGAUGCAGACUUACAGGUAAGUGACUAUAGUUUGAGUUAAAUUGCUCUGUGUAUUUCAGUGAUUGAAAGGGAAAGGUUUUUGAGAGGAUGAUACAGAGUUGGAAUAAACAUGUCUUUCUUCUUGUCAGAGCAGGGGUGGAGAGCCCUAACCCUUUCCCACAUGUGGAUAAUGUGGAAUGUGGAUGAUGCCCCACAUUCAUAUGUGUCUAAUCAGAUUUCAAUGAACUUUUCUCCAAUGUGAGGGGAAUUAGAUAAGUCAACCGACAAAAAUUACCAGAGCUCUGAGGGAAAAAAUGAUAAAAUACUAGAACAUAUCCAAAUCCCACUUCCCUGGCUACAUUUUGAAAUACCAGUGAUUGAAAACAAGGUCAUGAUGACUCUAACCUGAUUGUUAAAAGUUAAAUAAUUCACAUACUUAGGAUUUGAACAUCUGUUUAAUAAAAUUCUUGCAAUAGAUCUCAUAUCCAAUCAUGGCAGUCUGUGUUUGGUUGAGGAGAUGUCGAAGUGCAUAGAAAAUAUAGCAAAAGGUAAUAAGUGAAUGGAAUAAUACUAGGACAUUUUUUGGGGUCUCUCCUGCAGGAACUUACCUAAAUUGUCAUUUUGAGUUUUGUGGCUUUUCCUCACUGUUAGAAAAACUGAAGGAGCAAAUCUGAAAAUCUGUACUUUGUUAGAACAUCUUUCUUUUAGUGACAUGUGUUCAUAAUUAAGAAAUAGUAUUUAUUUUGCUAUGUUACCAUUUAUAUGGAAAAGAUAAAGAUAGACAUAAAUCUUUAAGUACAAAAAAGAUGGCAGUACCAAAGAAGGCUUUGGUUGUAUCUCACUCCCAUGGACCUCUCAUCAUCACUUCCAUCUGUAUUUUUUUCCUUGUUGGUGAAAGAAUGCACACUCAAGUGGGGUAAUUGAUGAAUGUUUAAUAAAAGGAAUUUUUAUAAAUGUGUGAUCAGGUCAACAGAAACCAACAAGUGUCAUGGCAUACCACUUCAGGCCUGAGGAAGUAAGGAGAAUGAAUGGUUUCCAAAAUCCAGUGUGAAUGGCUAUGGUAUUUAGAAGAGGAGUGCAGUCAUUCAUGGUCGGCAGGCAAUGGUGGAAUUUGCACAGAAGAGACCCCAACAACCCUCUCCUGCUUUUGUUCCCCCCACUGAAGAAUCCAGCUGUUGGUGUAAUUGAUACAGUUCAGCCUCCUGAAUUGUUGAGCUGAGUGGAAAGGGUUGAAAAGGGGUUUAGCCCUCUAGAAAAUACCAAGCCCACAAUCUGGGGCUCAUUUUCAAGUAUAACAGUUAGCAAGUGUAAAAACCAGAGACAGAAAUGUAGACAAGUGUAAGAGAUUCUAGGGGGGUGUAGAGAACUGCUAGGAACUGUUGGUAACUUUGGGAGCCCAGUGGGGAGCUUGCCCCAGUCUCAGAAAAAACUACAAAUGAAAAGGCAAAGAACAGCAGUACAAACUUUGAAUAUAAGGAAGAAGAAUUUUGCCUUCAUGUAGCCAAACCUACAUGGUGGCACCAUAAAAAUAUAGGGGUCAUUUACUGGCCACAUUUGUCUUUAGUAAGCCUCAUCUUCAGUCUUCAAACUCUAGGAAGGGGUUGGACUUCCUAGAGUGGUCCAGAGGGAUUUAAUGGAAGCAUCCAGAAGCACUUUUAAAAGUGCAAAGAUGGCGUAUUAAGCCUCUUGAAUGUAUUUUCCUGGGAAUGGUUCCAUUUCCUUGGGAGUACUGGAGGCUUUUCCGAAUGUUCUAGUUGUAAAUGACAGAAACUCAAUUCAAAUCAACUUAAAUCAGAGUGUAACAAUAGAUGAAACAAAAAUCCAUCAUUUGACUGAUAAAUAGAUGUAUGGAUAAGUUGAUAAAAGCAUAAAUAAAUGAGGAGAGAAAGGUUAUAUAGUAGAAAGCUAACUAAUAUAUAUGGGAGAUAUGAUGGAGUUAGAAAAUUAUGGCAGUAAUUGCUUCACAAAAGGAUCUUCAAUGAGUGCUAAAACUGAUGGAUAAAAUUUGAUAAGGAACAGGUUCUUUACAGUCUCAAAGUAUCUGCCUACACACUACUUUUAAUGACAAAUGGAAAACAGCAACUUUACUGUGGAGAAAUCUGGCAGAUACCACCUAAAACAGGUAACAUGAAUGUCACCAAUAUGAGAUAAAGUAACACCAAAUGUCUCCAGAUGUGAAGAUCUGGAAGUAUACAGUGUCAUGUGAGUAGAAUUAUUGCCUAAAAUGUGCAUCUUGAAUCUAACCAUGAUGAAAUAUCAGACAAUUCUAGAUUGAAUAACAUUCUGUGAAGUAAUUGACUAUACUUUUCAUUUAAAAUGUCAAGAUUAAGAAAGACAAUUAGCCAGGCAUGGUGUUACCCACCUGUAAUCCUAG